GAUGUGAAAUCCUAUGGCUCAACCAUAGAACUGCAUCCAAAACUGAGGGGCUAGAGUCUGGGAGGGGAAGAUGGAAUUAGUGGUGUAGGGGUAAAAUCCGUAGAGAUCACUAGGAAUACCAAAAGCGAAGGCGAUCUUCUGGAACAGUACUGACGCUGAGGCGCGAAAGCGUGGGGAGCAAACAGGAUUAGAUACCCUGGUAGUCCACGCCCUAAACUAUGAAUGUUAGUCGUCGGGAGGCUCGUCCUCUCGGUGAUGCAGCUAACGCAUUAAACAUUCCGCCUGGGGAGUACGGUCGCAAGAUUAAAACUCAAAGGAAUAGACGGGGACCCGCACAAGUGGUGGAGCAUGUGGUUUAAUUCGAAGAUACGCGAAGAACCUUACCUGGCCUUGACAUUGAUAGAAUCUGCUAGAGAUAGCGGAGUGCCCUUCGGGGAGCUUGAAAACAGGUGCUGCACGGCUGUCGUCAGCUCGUGUCGUGAGAUGUUGGGUUAAGUCCCGCAACGAGCGCAACCCUCGUCACUAGUUACUAACGGUUCGGCCGAGGACUCUAGUGAGACUGCCUUCGUAAGGAGGAGGAAGGUGAGGACGACGUCAAGUCAUCAUGGCCCUUACGGCCAGGGCGACACACGUGCUACAAUGGGAUGUACAAUGAGACGCAAUACCGCGAGGUGGAGCAAAUCUAUAAAGCAUCUCUCAGUUCGGAUUGUAGUCUGCAACUCGACUACAUGAAGCUGGAAUCACUAGUAAU
rnacentral:rRNA from 1 species